AGCGAAAAUUCUGGCCAUUGGCCAGAAGCUGAAGCAGGCUGGGGACUGAGAUCCACAGGAGACCAAGAGAACUGGGUCUGAUUUAGGCAGGAGGGUUGGUGCUUUCUGGCUGAUGGAAGACCAAGGUUAUAUAGCAAGGAAGAAUGGAGGACAGGAGCACCUGCAUGCACCAGCAGAGAUGUCACUUCUGCCCUCAGUCACUUGACACCACCAUACUCCUUCCCUCCCUCCCCAACGCAGCAAUACCUAGAGGUGUUUCUGAAAACCCA